rnacentral:misc_RNA from 1 species
AGGGAUCAUUCACAUGAUUUACUUUUAAAAACAAACCGUGAACUUUAUAUACUAUUCGUGUUGAUUGUUCAAUUACUUUGGUAGUUUUCAAUCAAACACUGUCAUUCGUUGAACAUUAGAUAGUUGGCUCGUUAUGUUUUUAUACAUAACCUUCUCAGCUGAUUUGUUGUAUAGACUAAACAUCUAUCAUCAAUCACCAAAACAUAGAAACAACUCUAUGCCCUGGAUAUCUUGGUUCUC